CCUACGGGGGGCAGCAGUGAGGAAUAUUGGUCAAUGGACGAGAGUCUGAACCAGCCAAGUAGCGUGAAGGAUGACUGCCCUAUGGGUUGUAAACUUCUUUUAUAUGGGAAUAAAACGUUCCACGUGUGGGAUUUUGUAUGUACCAUAUGAAUAAGGAUCGGCUAACUCCGUGCCAGCAGCCGCGGAAAUACGGAGGAUCCGAGCGUUAUCCGGAUUUAUUGGGUUUAAAGGGAGCGUAGGUGGAUUGUUAAGUCAGUUGUGAAAGUUUGCGGCUCAACCGUAAAAUUGCAGUUGAAACUGGCAGUCUUGAGUACAGUAGAGGUGGGCGGAAUUCGUGGUGUAGCGGUGAAAUGCUUAGAUAUCACGAAGAACUCCGAUUGCGAAGGCAGUUCACUGGACUGCAACUGACACUGAGGCUCGAAAGUGUGGGUAUCAAACAGGAUUAGAUACCCUAGUAGUC
rnacentral:rRNA from 1 species